rnacentral:rRNA from 1 species
UGAGUAACACGUGGGUGAUCUGCCCUGCACUCUGGGAUAAGCCUGGGAAACUGGGUCUAAUACCGGAUAGGACCAUGCUUUAGUGUGUGUGGUGGAAAGUUUUUCGGUGUAGGAUGAGCCCGCGGCCUAUCAGCUUGUUGGUGGGGUAAUGGCCUACCAAGGCGGCGACGGGUAGCCGGACUGAGAGGUUGGUCGGCCACAUUGGGACUGAGAUACGGCCCAG